rnacentral:lncRNA from 1 species
AGGGAGACACAAUCCAAAAUACAAAUCAUCUAUGGAUAGCCCUGCCAAGCCACACCCAACCCCGGGUGAGGAGUACGGAAAACUCUGAGGACCCCUAUCCUACAACCCUGAUACUAGACCUCCAGGCUUUCCUAUCGAGGGUCAUGUCCUCGGAAACCCGCAUUCUAGCCAUGUCAUGCCUAAUCACCUCUCCCCAAUACCUCUUAGGCCUCCCUCUGCCUCG